GAUGAACGCUGGCGGCGUGCCUAAUACAUGCAAGUCGAGCGAACAGACGAGUAGCUUGCUCCUCUGACGUUAGCGGCGGACGUGUGAGUAACACGUGGAUAACCUCCCUAUAAGACUGUGAUAACUUCGGGAAACCGGUGCUAAUACCGGCUAAUAUCUUGAACCGCAUGGUUCAAUAGUGAAAGACGGCUUUGCUGUCACUUAUAGAUUGAUCCGCGCCUCAUUAGCUAGUUGGUAUGGUAACGGCUUACCAAGGCGACGAUGAGUAGCCGACCUGAGAGGGUGAUCGGCCACACUGGAACUGAGACACGGUCCAGACUCCUACGGGAGGCAGCAGUAGGGAAUCUUCCGCAAUGGGCGAAAGCCUGACGGAGCAACGCCGCGUGAGUGAUGAAGGUCUUCGGAUCGUAAAACUCUGUUAUUAGGGAAGAACAAAUGUGUAAGUAACUAUGCACGGCUUGACGGUACCUAAUCAGAAAGCCACGGCUAACUACGUG
rnacentral:rRNA from 1 species